rnacentral:rRNA from 1 species
AUUGAACGCUGGCGGCAGGCCUAACACAUGCAAGUCGAGCGAGCGGCGGACGGGUGAGUAAUAUAUGGGGCUCUGCCCGAUAGAGGGGGAUAACUACUGGACACGGUGGCUAAUACCGCAUACUAUCGGCUGAACCCAUAUGUGAGUAGCUAGUAGGUGGGGUAAAGGCGAACCUAGGCGACGAUCUCUAGCUGGUCUGAGAGGCUGAUCAGCCACACUGGGACGGAGACACGGCCCAGACUCCUACGUGAGGCGGCAGUGGUGAAUAUUGAACAAUGGGCGCAAGCCUGAUGCAGCCAUGCCGCUUGUAGGAAGAAGGCCUUAGGGUUGUAAAGUACUUUCAGCGGGGAGGCGUUACCCGCAGAAUAAGCACCGGCUAACUCCGUGCCAGCAGCCGCGGUAAUAC